rnacentral:rRNA from 1 species
UACGUAGGGUGCGAGCGUUAAUCGGAAUUACUGGGCGUAAAGCGUGCGCAGGCGGUUGUGCAAGACAGAUGUGAAAUCCCCGGGCUUAACCUGGGAACUGCAUUUGUGACUGCACAGCUAGAGUACGGCAGAGGGGGAUGGAAUUCCGCGUGUAGCAGUGAAAUGCGUAGAUAUGCGGAGGAACACCGACGGCGAAGGCAGUCCCCUGGGCCUGUACUGACGCUCAUGCACGAAAGCGUGGGGAGCAAACAGG